rnacentral:rRNA from 1 species
UACGAAGGGUGCAAGCGUUAAUCGGAAUUACUGGGCGUAAAGGGUGCGUAGUCGGUUGUUUAAGUCUGUCGUGAAAUCCCCGGGCUCAACCUGGGAAUGGCGAUGGAUACUGGGCAGCUAGAGUGUGUCAGAGGAUGGUGGAAUUCCCGGUGUAGCGGUGAAAUGCGUAGAGAUCGGGAGGAACAUCAGUGGCGAAGGCGGCCAUCUGGGACAACACUGACGCUGAAGCACGAAAGCGUGGGGAGCAAACAGG